AAAAAGACAAACCCUGAAUUUUCGUGUCCAACGUUUGACUGUCCAUCUUAUAAUUGUUUUAUAAUUAGUAUUUUCAUUGUUGUUAAAUGAUAAAAUAUGAUUAAUACUUUAUGCGUGACUUGUCUUUUUAAUUUUUUUCAUAAUUUUUUUAAAUAAGACGGACGAUCAAACGUUGGACACGAAAACCCAGGGUUUGUCUUUUU
rfam:Oryza sativa Japonica Group DNA, chromosome 4, cultivar: Nipponbare, complete sequence.